rnacentral:rRNA from 1 species
CCUUGGCCUUGACAUACUAAGAACUUUCCAGAGAUGGAUUGGUGCCUUCGGGAACUUAGAUACAGGUGCUGCAUGGCUGUCGUCAGCUCGUGUCGUGAGAUGUUGGUUAAGUCCGCAACGAGCGCAACCCUUUUCCUUAUUUGCCAGCGGGUAAUGCCGGGAACUUUAAGGAUACUGCCAGUGACAAACUGGAGGAAGGCGGGGACGACGUCAAGUCAUCAUGGCCCUUACGGCCAGGGCUACACACGUGCUACAAUGGUCGGUACAAAGGGUUGCUACCUCGCGAGAGGAUGCUAAUCUCAAAAAGCCGAUCGUAGUCCGGAUCGCAGUCUGCAACUCGACUGCGUGAAGUCGGAAUCGCUAGUAAUCGCGGAUCAGAAUGCCGCGGUGAAUACGUUCCCGGGCCUUGUACACACCGCCCGUCACACCAUGGGAGUUUGUUGCACCAGAAGUAGGUAGUCUAACCGCAAGGAGGACGCUUACCACGGUGUGGCCGAUGACUGGGGUGAAGUCGUAACAAGGUAAGCGUAGAUGA